AAGAAUUUUCUAUAUGCCCUUUAAUAAAAUUACACUUAAAAUUUAAGCGUCCUGCGUGAUGGCAUGGUUGACUGUCAUCACAUAUAAAUGCAACAUUAAGUGUGAAAACACUUAAAGACAACCUGAUUUUUUCACAACACUCAUUUGAGGAAUCAUGGCGGAAAAUACAUGCAGGAAUAUUUUAUUCGAGGUUUGCAUGGCAAAUUCAGGUUUUGCAUGGUAAUGAAAUCAACGGACUGCUGGACCGACAGGACGACAGAAUCGAAGAGAAGACGCUUUAGGG